AGGGUUUGAUCAUGGCUCAGGACGAACGCUGGCGGCGGGCCUAACACAUGCAAGUCGAACGCACUCGACCUUCGGGUCAUAUGAGUGAGUGGCGAACGGGUGAGUAACACGUGAGAAACCUGCCCCGAAGACUGGAAUAACCCGAGGAAACUCGGGCUAAUACCGGAUGCCCCCAACUGAUCGCAUGAUCAGUUGAGGAAAUGCUCCGGCGCUUCGGGAGGGUCUCGCGGCCUAUCAGCUAGUUGGUGAGGUAACGGCUCACCAAGGCAACGACGGGUAGCUGGUCUGAGAGGACGAUCAGCCACACUGGGACUGAGACACGGCCCAGACUCCUACGGGAGGCAGCAGUGGGGAAUCUUGCGCAAUGGACGAAAGUCUGACGCAGCCACGCCGCGUGAGGGAUGAAGGCUUUCGGGUCGUAAACCUCUUUCAGCAGGGAAGAAAAUGACGGUACCUGCAGAAGAAGCUCCGGCCAACUACGUGCCAGCAGCCGCGGUAACACGUAGGGAGCAAGCGUUGUCCGGAUUUAUUGGGCGUAAAGAGCUCGUAGGCUGUUCAGUAAGUCAGGUGUGAAAACUCGAGGCUCAACCUCGAGACGCCACUUGAUACUGCUGUGACU
rnacentral:rRNA from 1 species